rnacentral:lncRNA from 1 species
CCCAGGUGGAAUGUAAAAUAUGGCACAAAUGAACCUAUCUAUAGAACAGAAACAGACUCACAGACAUGGAGAAUAGACUUGUGUUGUGUUGGGGUAGAAGUGGGAUGGACUGGGACUUUGGGGUUAGUAGAUACAAACUAUUACAUUUAGAAUGGAUAAGCAAUGGGAUGCUGCUGUAUAACACAGGGAAUGAUAUCCAAUCACUUGUGAUAGAACAUGAUGGCAGAUAAUACGAGAAAAAGAAUGUAUUUUUAUGUAUGACUGAGUCACUUUGCUGUAUGGAAGAAACUGACAUAACAUUGUAACUCAACUAUACUUUCAUAAAAAAUUUUAAAAAUAAAGCCCUGAAAAUCUAAAGGAAGGGGGAGAAUCUGAUUUCCAGAGUUACCACACUGUUAAAUUCAAAUGUCCAGUUUUGAAUCUGUCCCUGAAAAAGACCUGAUAGCAAAUCUACUAGACAAAGACUUUAGAAUGACUGUCAUAUUGAUGCUCAGAGAACUAAAAAAAGAAGUGGAGAAAGUAAAGAAAAUAAUACAUGAACAAAAUGGAAAUGUCAAUAAAGGGAGAAAAAAACCUAAAAAUGAACCACAAAAAAUCUGGAUCUAAAAGGUAUAAUAUGGCUGGGGCACCAGAGGUGCCAAGGCGCAGAGAGCCGGCGGGGGUGCAUCUGAUCAGCCUCCUCUCAGCCGGGGAAAGCAUCGCUCUGCUCUCAAUCUUUUCAGAGGUGGAGGGAAAUUCUGGGGUCCCAAGUGUUAAUGGUCCGAAGGUUUAUUUGCCCUCACGCCUUGUCCUAUAUCUAGAGAAUUAAUGUUCUCACUCCCAUUGCCUUCCUUUUUCUGGCCUCUUAGCCCAGUGAUCUGAGUUGAAUAAUGUAUUUUUCAAGCCUAGAUUGUUGCUUUUUUUAUUGCAUGCCUUAAGUCAUUCGACAAAGACCCUGGGAAAAUCUCCUCUGGCCCAUUCUAUGUCCUUGGUUGGCCAAGAGGUCAUGGCACUUUUACCUUCUCUUUGUCUAUGGUCUCCAGAAACUUGGAAGAGACCUGACAGUUCUUAGGUUUGUGAACUCAAAACUAAGAGUUCAGUGUUGCUUUUGGCCCAAUCAGCAAUAAAUAUGAAAGGAGUCUUCUGAAACUACAGUUUUGAUACAUGUUUGAGAUUAGAGAGAGAUUUGCAGAAGGUAGCGUAUUUCAGAGCAGAAGUUGAGAAUUUAAAUAAGGAAAUAGCAUUACUUUUGAACACUUCUGCAUUAUCAUCUUAUCCCACCCUUUCCAAAGGGAGCAUCACUUUGUAUAGUGGUGAGCUGGCAAUCCAGCUACAGUCUUUUCGUAGCCACCACCCUUUCAAGCCUCAGUGUCAUGGUUUAGUCAACACUGCUACUGCACUUUUAGAUUUGGGGAAGUGGGGUAUUUAAUUUGGAAAUUAUAAAAUUAAAGCUCAACAGAUGAGUGACAGCAAGAGUAGAUGGUUCUACAUUUAAGGGAAUUGUCAUCGAUGUUUUCAUUUUCAUACAUAUUUUUGAGAAUAGUUGGCCCUGAAGAAGGAAGUAUCUGAAAUUAUACAAGCUUCAUUCUAGCAUGAACCUUUGGAUUUAACCUCCUCCCAAAUCUAGAAUACCUAUAGUUACCUUAUGUUCAUUUAAAUAAAUUACAUUUUAAUUAUUUUUUAUGUCGGGAAGAUACUGUCCUAGCAUUGCAUUAGCAUUAACAUUUACUCAACACAUUAAUAGGUGCUGGAUUAAAUAAACAAUUUAAGAUGAAAAUAAAUAAAUAAAUAAAAGGUAUAAUAACUGAAAUGAAAGAUUCACUAGAGGGAUUCAAAGGCAGAUUUUGGCAGGUAGAGGAAAGAAUCAGAAAACUUGAAGAUAGGACAGUGGAAAUUAUUGAGUCAGAAACAGAGAGAAAAAAGAUUAAAGUGUCAGAGCAUAAAGUACCUGUGGGACACCAUCAAAUGGACCAAUAUACAUAUUGUGGGAGUCCCAGGAGAAGAGAGAGGAAGAAAGAGGCAGAAAGAAUAUCUGAAAAAAUAAUGAUCCCAAACUUGCCAAUUGUUUUUUCUUUUUCUUUUUCCUUUUUUAUUUAUUAUUAUUAUUAUUAUUAUUAUUUUUUUUUUUGCUUUUCAGGGCCACACCCAUGGCAUAUGGAGGUUCCCAGAUAAACAGAAGCUGAGGGAGUUUUUUACCACUACACCUAUCCUGUGAAAAUGUUCAAGGGCGUCCUACAGGUUGGAUGAAAUGGCACUAGACAGUAGCUUGAAACUCUAUUUUAAAAAACAGAUAAAGAAGGUGUGGUAUAUAUACACAAUGGAAUACUUCUCAGCCAUAAAAAGAAUGAAACUUUGCCAUUUGCAGCGACAUGGACGGACUUGGAGGGAAUUAUGCUAAGUGAAAUAAGUCAGACCGAAAGACAAAUAUGGUCUGAUUAUAUGUGGACUCUAAAAAAAUACAGCAAACUAGUGAAUAUAACAAAUAAAAAGAAGACUCACAGAUACAGAAAACAAACUGUAUCUGUGGUUACCAGCGGGAAGAGGGCAGGGAGGAGGGGCAAGGGAGGGGAAGGGGAGAAGGAGGUACUAACUGUUAGGUACAAAACAGGCAAGAAGGAAACACUGCACAACAUUAGGAAUAUGGCAAGUAUUUUAUAAUAAGUGGAGUACAACUUUUAAAAAUUGCAAAUCACUAUACCGCACACCUGUAACUUACAUAAUAUGGUAUGUCAAUUAUAAAUCCAUUUAAAAAACUAACUUCAAAAAACUCAGGAAAGGUGGAGUUCCCAUCGAGGCUCAGUGGUUAGCAAACCCGACUAGUGUCCAUGAGGAUGUGGGUUCGAUCCCUGGCCUUGCUCAGUGGGUUGAGGAUCUGGCAUUGCCCAUGAGCUAUAAUGUGGCUACACAGACGUGGCCUGGAUCCCGUGUUGCUGUGGCUGUGGUGUAGGCC